CAAAGAAUAGUUUAAAUAAAAUAAUAAUUUUGGAGAUUAUUGAUGAAGAAAUUUCUUUUUCUUUGA
rnacentral:tRNA from 1 species